GGCCUUGUGGUCUAGUGGUAUGAUUCGUGCUUUGGGAGUCAAACCCCUCUACUGAGAGAGUAAUGUGCGAGAUCUCGGGUUCAAUCCCCGACAAGGCCC